UCCAAACGGCUGGGGUCCUACCUCAGUUUCAGAUGCAUUUAAAGGAAUACCUUAUCAACCAUUCUCUAAAGGAGAUAAACUUGGCAAGGUUUCUGAUUGGUCAAGUACAGCCUAUCAAGAUCGUUGAUACCAAAAUAAAUACUUAAAUCAAUUUGGUGGUGGUAAUCAAUAUGCAUAUUAUCACGAAGAAGAUGAAUCAACUUUCCAUCUUGUUGACACAAGUCGACCACAAAAGCCUGUUUACAUGCGCAAUAGGAACAAAUUCAAUCAGAGAAAUAAUCGACGUGAUAAAGAGCGUCAAAUGCAACGUCAGCAAGCUGGGAUGCAGAAUUUGCUGAAGACUCAUGACAACAGACUCCAUCGUAAAUUGCAAAAACAAUUUGCCAACAGAAACAACUGGAAAGAACGAAGAAAUCAGACUCCUCAGAGGAUACGUAAUGCAUCUGUGAUGGUUCGGGAAGAGUGGAAGGUUAUUGAAGAAAUGGAUUUUCCAAGAUUAUCAAAAUUGAGUCUACCAAAUGUUCUUGAUCCAGAUGAUUUCAUGAGUGGUGAAAGUUGAUAUGUGGUGAUAUCAAGCGAUCAUAAGUUCAGUGGAGAUUAUGUUGAACUUGGCAAGUGUAGAUAUUACAAAGCAAGCAAUUAUUGAUCGCUUGUUGGGUGGAGUAAAGCAAUGUCAGGUACGAUUUGGUAGUACAACCGAAUUGGCUUCUAAGAAGGAUAGCAGAAUCUCUUGUCUUUGUGAGCAAUGGAACAUUGUUCUUCAAUUUGGCAUUAAAU